UUGAAAUUAUAGUAGCGAAGUCCGGAUACAUGCUGUCAAGAAAAGCCGCUAUUGCGCCAUAUGUACCCGUACCGUAAACCGACACAGGUGGAUGAGGAGAGAAUCCUAAGGCCGGCGGGAGAAGUGUUGUUAAGGAACUCGGCAAAAUGGCCCCGUAACUUCGGGAGAAGGGGCGCCCAGAAAUGGGCCGCAGAGAAAAGGCUCAAGCAACUGUUUAGCAAAAACACAGGUCUAUGCGAAACCGAAAGGUGAGGUAUAUGGGCUGACGCCUGCCCGGUGCUGGAAGGUUAAGGGGAGAAGUUAGCCGCAAGGCGAAGCUUUGAACUUAAGCCCCAGUAAACGGCGGCCGUAACAAUAACGGUCCUAAGGUAGCGAAAUUCCUUGUCGGGUAAGUUCCGACCCGCACGAAAGGCGUAAUGAUUUGAGCACUGUCUCGACAACACACCCGGUGAAAUUGAAAUACCAGUGAAGAUGCUGGUUACCUGCGCCAGGACGGAAAGACCCCAUGGAGCUUUACUCUAGUUUGAUACUGGGACCCGGUAUGACAUGUACAGGAUAGGUGGGAGGCAGAGAAUUAAUGACGCCAGUCAUUAAGGAGCCGCUGCUGGGAUACCACCCUUGUGAUGCCAGGUUUCUAACGAGCUGCCGUGAACCGGCAGGCGGACAAUGUCAGGCGGGGAGUUUGACUGGGGCGGUCGCCUCCGAAAGGGUAUCGGAGGCGCUCAAAGGUUCCCUCAGAAUGGUUGGAAACCAUUCGGAGAGUGCAAAGGCAGAAGGGAGCCUGACUGCGACACCGACGGGUGGAGCAGGUACGAAAGUAGGACUUAGUGAUCCGGUGGUAUAAAGUGGGAUUGCCAUCGCUCAACGGAUAAAAGCUACCCUGGGAUAACAGGCUUAUCACUCCCAAGAGUUCACAUCGACGGAGUGGUUUGGCACCUCGAUGUCGGCUCAUCGCAUCCUGGGGCUGGAGUAGGUCCCAAGGGUUGGGCUGUUCGCCCAUUAAAGCGGUACGCGAGCUGGGUUCAGAACGUCGUGAGACAGUUCGGUCCCUAUCCGGCGCGGGCGUAAGAGAUUUGAGAGGAGCUGUCCUUAGUACGAGAGGACCGGGAUGGACGGACCACUGGUGUAUCUGUUGCACCACCAGGUGCACGGCAGAGUAGCCAAGUCCGGACGGGAUAAACGCUGAAGGCAUCUAAGCGUGAAGCCCCCCUCAAGAUGAGAUCUCUCAUUCGAAAGAAGUAAGGCCCCUUGAAGACGACGAGGUAGAUAGGGCAGGGGUGGAAGGGCAGUAAUGUCCGGAGCUGACUGUUACUAAUCGGUCGAGGGCUUGAUC
rnacentral:rRNA from 1 species